UGCAAGUCGAGCGGUACAGAGAGUAGCUUGCUACUUUGCUGACGAGCGGCGGACGGGUGAGUAAUGCUUGGGAACAUGCCUUGAGGUGGGGGACAACAGUUGGAAACGACUGCUAAUACCGCAUAAUGUCUACGGACCAAAGGGGGCUUCGGCUCUCGCCUUUAGAUUGGCCCAAGUGGGAUUAGCUAGUUGGUGAGGUAAUGGCUCACCAAGGCGACGAUCCCUAGCUGGUUUGAGAGGAUGAUCAGCCACACUGGGACUGAGACACGGCCCAGACUCCUACGGGAGGCAGCAGUGGGGAAUAUUGCACAAUGGGCGCAAGCCUGAUGCAGCCAUGCCGCGUGUGUGAAGAAGGCCUUCGGGUUGUAAAGCACUUUCAGUCAGGAGGAAAGGUUAGUAGUUAAUACCUGCUAGCUGUGACGUUACUGACAGAAGAAGCACCGGCUAACUCCGUGCCAGCAGCCGCGGUAAUACGGAGGGUGCGAGCGUUAAUCGGAAUUACUGGGCGUAAAGCGUACGCAGGCGGUUUGUUAAGCGAGAUGUGAAAGCCCCGGGCUCAACCUGGGAACUGCAUUUCGAACUGGCAAACUAGAGUGUGAUAGAGGGUGGUAGAAUUUCAGGUGUAGCGGUGAAAUGCGUAGAGAUCUGAAGGAAUACCGAUGGCGAAGGCAGCCACCUGGGUCAACACUGACGCUCAUGUACGAAAGCGUGGGGAG
rnacentral:rRNA from 1 species